rnacentral:lncRNA from 1 species
GUCUCAAUACUUUCAAGACCAUUGUUUCUACUUACCAUCUACCGGUAUAUUUUCUGACUAAGGGGUUGGUAAAAUGCAUGCCAAUCAAGCGGUGGCUCGACAGUGUUUUAUGAUUUCUGCUAAAAUAAACCAACCGACGAAAACUGUGCCAGUUGAUAUACGGAUGCAUUAGAUGAGGUUGGAAAAAUCUGAGGUGAACCAGCAGAAAAGCUCGAAGCCAUUCCUUUAGAAAAUGAUCCAG